GAUGAACGCUGGCGGCGUGCCUAAUACAUGCAAGUCGAGCGAACAGACGAGGAGCUUGCUCCUCUGACGUUAGCGGCGGACGGGUGAGUAACACGUGGAUAACCUACCUAUAAGACUGGGAUAACUUCGGGAAACCGGAGCUAAUACCGGAUAAUAUAUUGAACCGCAUGGUUCAAUAGUGAAAGACGGUUUUGCUGUCACUUAUAGAUGGAUCCGCGCCGCAUUAGCUAGUUGGUAAGGUAACGGCUUACCAAGGCAACGAUGCGUAGCCGACCCGAGAGGGGGGAUCGCCCACACUGAAACGGAGAAAGGUUCCAGAUUCCUAGGGGAGGCAGCAGUGGGGAAUCUUCGGCAAUGGGGGAAGGCCGGACGAGGCAACGCCGCGGGGGUGAGGAAGGCUUUCGGUUCGUAAAACUUUGUUAUAGGGGAAGAACAAAGGGGAAAGUAACAAUGCACGUUUGAAGGUUACCAAAUCAGAAAGCAACGCCUAACUACGU
rnacentral:rRNA from 1 species